UUUCCGGUUGAUCCCGCCGGACCCGACUGCUAUUGGGGUGAGGCUAAGCCAUGCGAGUCAGCGCUUCUAGCCAUGAUGGAGCGCGGCAUACGGCUCAGUAACAUGUGGUCAAUCUACCCUCAGGACGGGGACACCCUCGGGAAACUGAGGCUGAUCCCAGAUAGAUAAUGGAUCCUGGAAUGGUUUUUUAUUUAGAUGAUACGCAACUCAUGCGUUGUGUAUCGCCUGAGGAUGAGACCGCACCCUAUCAGGUAGUUGGUGGGGUAACGGCCCACCAAGCCUAUAACGGGUACGGGCCCUGAGAGGGGGAGCCCGGAGAUGGGCACUGAGACAAGGGCCCAGGCCCUACGGGGCGCAGCAGGCGCGAAAACUCUGCAAUGCGCGAAAGCGCGACAGGGCCACCCCGAGUGCUAGACGCAGAGUUUAGCUUUUCCUUAGUGUAGUAAGCUAGGGGAAUAAGCGGGGGGCAAGCCUGGUGUCAGCCGCCGCGGUAAUACCAGCUCCGCGAGUGGUCGGGACGAUUAUUGGGCCUAAAGCGUCCGUAGCCGGCCUAGUAAGUCUCUGGUUAAACUUCAAGGCAUAACCUUGAGACUGCUGGAGAUACUGCUAGGCUAGGGGGCGGUAGAGGUUGAGGGUACUUCGCGGGUAGGGGCGAAAUCCUAUAAUCCGCGAAGGACCACCAGUGGCGAAGGCGCUCAACUGGAACGCGCCCGACGGUGAGGGACGAAAGCCAGGGGAGCAAAGGGGAUUAGAUACCCCCGUAGUCCUGGCUGUAAACGAUGCGGGCUAGGUGUUGGGUUGGCUUCGUGCCAACCCGGUGCCGCAGC
rnacentral:rRNA from 1 species